rnacentral:tRNA from 1 species
GGAUUGUGGCUCAGUGGUGGAGUGCUUGCCUAGCAUAUGUGAGGUGCUGGGUUCGAUCCUCAGCACCA